AUUUCAGUGUAACAAAUCUAAAUCCCUUAACGAGGAUCCAUUAGAGGGCAAGUCUGUUUCCAGCAGUCGCGGUAAUUCCAUCUCCAAUAGCGUAUAUUUAAGUUGCUGCAGUUAAAAAGCUCGUAGUUGGAUCUUGGGUCGUAAAGGUCAGUCCGCCUACUCGGUGUGCACUUGCCCUUCCGUCCCUUUUGUCGGCGGCGUGCUCCUGACCUUAAUUGGCUGGGUCACGGCUCCGGCACUGUUACUUUGAAAAAAUUAGAGUGCUCAAAGCAAGCUUAUGCUCUGAAUACAUUAGCAUGGAAUAAUGUGAUAGGAGUCUGGUCCUAUUGUGUUGGCCUUCGGGACCGGAGUAAUGAUUAAUAGGGACUGUCGGGGGCAUUCGUAUUUCAUUGUCAGAGGUGAAAUUCUUGGAUUUAUGAAAGACGGACCACUGCGAAAGCAUUUGCCAAGGAUGUUUUCAUUAAAUCAAGAACGAAAGUUGGGGGCUCGAAGACGAUCAGAUACCGUCCUAGUCUCAACCAUAAACGAUGCCGACCAGGGAUCGGCGGAUGUUGCUCUAAGGACUCCACCAGCACCUUCUGAGAAAUCAGAGUGUUUGGGUUCCGGGGGGAGGAUGGUCGCAAGGCUGAAAAUUAAAGGAAUUGACGGAAGGGCACCACCAGGAGUGGAGCCUGCGGCUUAAUUUGACUCAACACGGGGAAACUUACCAGGUCCAGACAUAGUAAGGAUUGACAGAUUGAGAGCUCUUUCUUGAUUCUAUGGGUGGUUGUGCAUGGCCGUUCUUAGUUGGUGGAGCGAUUUGUCUGGUUAAUUCCGAUAACGAACGAGACCUCAGCCUGCUAACUAGCUACGCGGAGGUUCCCCUUCGAGGCCAGCUUCUUAGAGGGACUAUGGCCGUUUAGGCCAUGGAAGUUUGAGGCAAUAACAGGUCUGUGAUGCCCUUAGAUGUUCUGGGCCGCACGCGCGCUACACUGAUGCAGCCAACGAGCUUUUCUUCCUGGUUCGAGAGGAUCGGGAAAUCUUUUCAAAUUGCAUCGUGAUGGGGAUAGAACAUUGCAAUUAUUGGUCUUCAACGAGGAAUUCCUAGUAAGCGCGUGUCAUCAACUCGUGUUGACUACGUCCCUGCCCUUUGUACACACCGCCCGUCGCUCCUACCGAUUGAAUGAUCCGGUGAAGUGUUCGGAUUGCGUCGACGAUGGUGGUUCGCCGCCGCCGACGUCGUGAGAAGUUCAUUGAACCUUAUCAUUUAGAGGAAGGAGAAGUCGUAACAAGGUUACCGUAGGUGAACCUGCGGUAG
rnacentral:rRNA from 1 species